GAUGAACGCUGGCGGCGUGCCUAAUACAUGCAAGUCGAGCGAAUGGAUUAAGAGCUUGCUCUUAUGAAGUUAGCGGCGGACGGGUGAGUAACACGUGGGUAACCUGCCCAUAAGACUGGGAUAACUCCGGGAAACCGGGGCUAAUACCGGAUAACAUUUUGAACCGCAUGGUUCGAAAUUGAAAGGCGGCUUCGGCUGUCACUUAUGGAUGGACCCGCGUCGCAUUAGCUAGUUGGUGAGGUAACGGCUCACCAAGGCAGCGAUGCGUAGCCGACGUGAGAGGGUGAUCGGCCACACUGGGACUGAGACACGGCCCAGACUCCUACGGGAGGCAGCAGUAGGGAAUCUUCCGCAAUGGACGAAGGUCUGACGGAGCAACGCCGCGUGAGUGAUGAAGGCUUUCGGGUCGUAAAACUCUGUUGUUAGGGAAGAACAAGUGCUAGUUGAAUAAGCUGGCACCUUGACGGUACCUAACCAGAAAGCCACGGCUAACUACGUGCCAGCAGCCGCCGUAA
rnacentral:rRNA from 1 species